rnacentral:lncRNA from 1 species
UCACAAUCGAACCCUUACACGUUGGUUUUACACUCGGCUCACCAACCAACCUCAAUACUCUUGAUUCAAUGCCCCGAUUGAACCAAGCAAAGACAAAGGUGUAGAUAAAAGAGACAAACAGAAAAAUACAGCUUCUCAAAAGCAGAUAAAUGGCAAUAUGAACAAUAACGAAGUUAAGAGCCCUCAAACGCUUUUAAGUUGGAGAAGAGGAAGGGCUUCUUGAACUUCGGGUCUCCUCUUUAAUGUGUAGUUGAUAAGUGCUAAAUAAUGCAUAAAUUAAUAUCUUAUUCAUAGCACUUAUCAUUAUUUUAAUUCACAUAUUUGGUAAAUUCAACUAAAAAAUGUAUUACCUUCACCAGUGCAUUUUAAUGAAUUAUCAAAGGUAAUUCAAGUUUGAUUUGAUUAUUUAUUGAUUAAGUUUAAUGCAUGCAGGUCAAGUCAAGCUCAAUUAGGUAAAGCCUAAACGGACACUACAUCAUUUCACAAUUUUAUAUUUUCAGAGUCGACUCCAAUAACUCUUUUCCAAAACCCAGUGCUUCCCAUUAAUUCCUGACUCUUCAUAC